rnacentral:lncRNA from 1 species
AGGGAAAACAAGAAAAUGAUGAAGCAUUUGAAAAAAAUGAACCAGCCAGGAAUCGAACCAUGACCGGAUUCAGAAGUGGCGCGCGUUUGAUCAUGAAACGCAGUCUUUUCAUUAAACGACGUGGAGGUCAGCGCUCGGUCAAACAAUGUGAGCCAAUCGUUUUGCUUAGUGGACGCGUACAUGGACCAAUCAUAACCAAGCCCUAGACCAGCGUGGCAAGAACUAGAGAACCGUUGCCUAAUGCACAAAACCAUGGCCAAUAGUAUGAA